GGCGCGGUGGUGGAACGGUAGACACGCAAGUCUCAAAAACUUGUGAGUGUAAAAGCUCAUGAGAGUUCGAAUCUCUCCCGCGCCA
rnacentral:tRNA from 1 species